AUGCUCCUUGGGUGCCGCUAUACAGAGGCCAAACUCUUUGCAGCCGUAAAUAAAUGAAGAGUUGAUUGGUGUGCGAAAACUAAGGAUUCUGAAAAAUAUUGGGCAGCUGACUCCAGAUCACCUGAGAAAAGAUCACAGCCUGAUGUUACCCGGCAGUCUCAUACUCUGGGAGAUGGAAUCCCAGGUGAAGGUGGAGCUGAUGUGCUGAUUAGAACUUACGGAAGAAGAUAUGGCCUUUUGCAGCAGGCCUGAUGUUACCCGGCAGUCUCAUACUCUGGGAGAUGGAAUCCCAGGUGAAGGUGGAGCUGAUGUGCUGAUUAGAACUUACGGAAGAAGAUAUGGCCUUUUGCAGCAGGCCUGAUGUUACCCGGCAGUCUCAUACUCUGGGAGAUGGAAUCCCAGGUGAAGGUGGAGCUGAUGUGCUGAUUAGAACUUACGGAAGAAGAUAUGGCCUUUUGCAGCAGGUGAUGUUCUUGAAGUCCCACUGUGCUCAAGUACCUGUGCUUGAUGGAAUAGCAUGAUGUUAUUAUCGGCUGGCUUACACACUUGCCUAUGCACUUACUUCAGCCAGGUGAAAUGUAGAAAGGAAUAGCCAGGAACGAUCUUUCCAUCCACUGAUGAAGCGUCACCCUCCUGGGGCCCGAGGAAUGACAGCUGUCCUUUAUAAGGCUGGAAUAGCUCUGCUGAUGGCUGCAUUAAAGGGAAAAAAAAUAGUCAACAUGGUACAAAAUAUCUAUUUCUGAGAUAAAAAUAUUUUUUUCUUUGCAAAAUAAUAGCUAGUCUCUGAUGCCAAUGCUACAGCACCCCUAUUGGUUCAUUGUUUUUUCUUUUACAUGAAAAAUGACUUUUUUAAUCAUUUGUUGUUAUUUGGGGGCAAACAGAAGGUUCAGGAUCAUUCCAUUACCUGCUGCAUCCCUUGUGCCUUAUGGAUAUAGGUUUUCCAUGGUUCUGCAAGCUAAACCCACUGCUUUCUGAUUCACCUAUUUCACUAAUCAGUACUAUUCACCCAGGGUAUAAUCAUUUCUAAUUUGUAUUCUCCAAACAUAUACUUACUGCUCUUGGCUGGAAAGGGGGUUGUAAUCCUUCUUCUUCCAUUCCCACCCAGUCUAUGGAUUCAUAGAAUGGGUGCAAUCUGAUAUCAUUUUCCAGACCAAGGCGUUGCCUUGGCUCCUUAUUUAGUAGCUAAAGGAUAAAUGGAUAAUUAUUUGAAUUAUAGCAAAUUAACAGAAAUGUAGAAUGAAUAUAUUUGUGAAUGCUACAAUACUUCUAUCCAACUAUUGCUACCCACCUUUCCCAGAAGAUCUUUUAGAUCAUCAUCCAGCCAAUCAGGUAUCUCCGGCUGAUCCGAAAUGAUGGAAUUAAUGAGCUCCUUCCUAUUUUUGCCCUUAAAGGGGGUAUUUCCGGUGGCCAUUUGGCAGAUGGUGAUGCCCAACGACCACCAGUCUACUGUUGCAGUGUAUGCCAUAUGUUGUAGAAUCUUUAAAAGAAAGAAAACAUCUGUUACUAAGUUAUGCCCAUUGAGUGUAUGAAGUGCAGCGAGUAAUGCAUGUGACCAGUUGGUUGACAAAGCCAGCUGUAUGGCUAUUAUUCUUUCACAGGUAAAAGAACCUGCAUGGUCAAGAAUAGAUGAUGCCUGGCACAACAUGGGUGGCACUAGAGUUAUAGAAAUGUGUAUUAUGUAGGAUAAGUCAUUUUAUUGGCCUGUAAUCAAUAUAACCUGUUAAAGUGCUGCCAUAUUCACAGAUACAAAAAAAUCCAAAUUUAGGCCUAUAGUUCUUGCUUUUACUAGGUUCCUACUGUAAAUAUACUGUAUUUUCUUACCUCUGGGGCCAUGUAUUUUAGGGUUCCGAUCCAGCCAGUGGUGGUGUCAUCUAAGAAAAUAUUCAGCUUUGCCAGACCGAAGUCCGAUAUUUUAACAUGGCCGUCAUGGUCCAGUAAAAUAUUGCGGGGUUUCAGGUCUCUGUAAUAUAGAGAUUAAAGGAGUUACAGAAAAGUAGGGCUGCUGAUUUGCAGAGCAACCUGUGUGAGGCCUCUGCUGUAGAAUGUUACAGAAAUGAAGAAAUCCAUGCUGACCGAUGUAUAAUCCCCUUGCCGUGUAGGAAUCGCAGGCCACAUAUAAUUUCCGCAGAAUGGAACCUUUUAAACAGAAAAAUCAUGAUUUAAAAAUUAUCCUAUAAUAUGCUUCCUUUUAGGAUAUAUAUGACUAUGACAGAUGAAUAUGGUGGUUUUUAGUGUCAAAAUGUACAUUUUGUAUUAUUUCAUCAUUCUCUCAGAUCAGUCUAAGAGGAGAGUUAGUGGAAAAGAAAAGAAUAAAACACCUAUAUUUGUCUAUUUAUAAA